rnacentral:rRNA from 1 species
AGAGUUUGAUCAUGGCUCAGGAUGAACGCUGGCGGUAUGCUUAACACAUGCAAGUCGAACGGAAUCUACGAACUUGGUUGCGGACGGGGGGGUAGAGCGUGAGAAUAUGGCUUCAGGUUUGGGAUGACAGGGGGGAACCGCUGCUAAUACCCAAUGUGCCGAGGGGUACGAGAUUAAUUGCCUGAAGAUGAGCUCGCGUCUGAUUAGCUAGAUGGUGGGGUAAAGGCCUACCAUGGAGACGAUCAGUAGCUGGUCUGAGAGGAUGAUCAGCCACACUGGGACUGAGACACGGCCCAGACUCCUACGGGAGGCAGCAGUGGGGAAUUUUCCGCAAUGGGCGCAAGCCUGACGGAGCAAUACCGCGUGAGGGAGGAAGGCCCUUGGGUUGUAAACCUCUUUUCUCAAGGAAGAUAAUGACGGUACUUGAGGAAUCAGCAUCGGCUAACUCCGUGCCAGCAGCCGCGGUAAUUC